rnacentral:lncRNA from 1 species
AUGCAGUCCCAUAGGGCUCCAUUGCCCUGCGUCCAUUCCAUCUCGUCCAGCAGGGGGCAGCAAAACGUUCCCGGUGUGUGUUUAGGGGGGGGGGGGGGGGGGGUUGGCCGCCAUCCAUCCCCCCAUCAAUCAAUCAACCCCCAUCAAUCAAUCAACCCCCAUCAAUCGAUCAACCCCCGUCAAUCAAUCAACUCCUCCCCCCAUUCCAUUGGUGGGAGGGUCCUUCUCUCAGCCCCCUCAAUUCCAUUGGUCGGAGGUCAAUCAAUCAAUCAAACUCCCCAAUCCCAUUGGUGGGAGGUCAAUCAAUCAAUCAACCCCCC